UCAUGCAAACAAACCCAAGAGAGCUGAUAUAAUGCUAACCCCUUUCUUUCUCCUGCCAAAACAGAGACAAAACCCUGGAAUGUCCCCCUUCCAAAUACAUCUCCAUUUUGUUCUUAUCCUGUAGGCACGUUGUGUGAAGCAUUGGUAGAAAUAAACACACAAAAGGAAAAUAUGAGCUGACUGCUCUUCAUCUGACUGGAACAUCUGGAAUGAUGUGCUGUCAAUGGCAGGAGAGGAGUUUCCUUGAGGGAACAACUGACUCAGAAAUGUUUUGCAUACAUAGCCACUUAUUAAAGCAGUUUACACCCAGGAAAAUAUACCCGAAAUAUAUUUUCACCUGAAGCUAUAAACAGAGAAUGUAGCACUGCUCACGAAAGUGUGAUACAACGCUCUUUGGUAUAUAUCAGGUAGAAUAUUCAGGCUUAAACCCAGUUGAUGAAACCUUAAUCAGGAGAAGGUUUUGACAAAACAUUCUCCCAUUUGCAUGAGGUGUGGCAGUUGCAUAGGAAGACAGCAUGAGGCACACAUUCAGAAUGCCAAGUGCCAAGGAAGAAAAGAAAAGAAAUUGCUGAAAUGGAACCAGGGUAGACUGAGAAGUAUGAAGGAUGCGGUUGAUAAGAUACCAGGGAAGAACUAACUAGUUUCUUUAUUUUAAUGCAAAGAGGGGGACCCAAGAAAAGAGUUACACUUCUCUGCCUGCUUAGGGAAUUUGGAGGGAAAGGAAUAACUAUCCGUUCACCUGCUGAUACACAGCCACAAUUCUUAACUUGAUAAGAGCAAUCACAACACCCUACUGAGGCAAUCAGCACCAUCCAGCACCAGUCGCACCCUGCCUCUUCCUUGCACUUUCCUUGCUCUUCCUUACACCCUCAGGCACAAGGCAGUGAGAGCUCCCUGUUGCCACCCUCACCAACAACAACACAAGGACAACCUUCAGCAGGAAUGUGGAUAGGCAGCUGGCCUUGAGCAACUGAGAAGCUUCCUCAGCCUCAGGAGAAAGAGAAGCUAGGAUUCCUAUUUUUAAGGAAUUUUGAGAGUAAAUAUUUCAAUGUAUUUAAGAGGUAUGAAGUUGGGGGAAGCUUCCAUUAGAGCAGUGACAGGGGAACAUAAAGAUCUCACAGUUGAAAGUAAACACAAACACAAAGUUAAAUAGUAGGCCACUAUUGGCUAGCAGCAGACCUAACCCAAUUAGACACUGUUGUUUAACUGCUAUUAUGUUAAUAUGUAUAUUCAUUUUAGUAUUUGACUAUGUGAUUUUUAAAGGGACAUGGAGGCUCAGGGGCUAAAAUGCUGAGCUUGUCGAUCGAAAGGUCGGCAGUUCAGCGGUUCGAAUCCCUAGUGCUGCCAUGUAACAGGGUGAGCUCCCGUUACUUGUCCCAGCUUCUGCCAAUCUAGCAGUUUGAAAGCACAUAAAAAAUGCAAGUAGAAAAAAUAGGGAUCACCUUUGGUGGGAAGGUAACAGCGUUCCGUGCACCUUUGGUGUUGAGUCAUGCCGGCCACAUGACCACAGAGACGUCUUUGGACAGCGCUGGCUCUUCGGCUUUGAACGGAGAUGAGCACCUCCCCAUAGAGUUGGGAACGACUAGCAUGUAUGUGCAAAGGGAACCUUUAUCUUUACCUUUAUGUGGUUUUUAAUAUAUAUUUUAAUAUUACUCUCCAUUGAGGCCUUACAGUCAAAACAAAUCUCACCCUUCAGGCUUUCCUAUUAUCCUAUAACUACAGAACAGAACUUAUAUAUUUUCCUUUAUGUAAGGCACGGGUGUCAAACUUGCUGCGUCACGUUGCCGUCACAUGAUGUUUCGUGAUUUAUUUAUUUAUUUUUUUAUUUGAAUUUAUAUCCCGCCCUUCUCCGAAGACUCAGGGCGGCUUAUACUGUGUUAAGCAAUAGUCUUCAUCCAUUUGUAUAUUAUAUACAAAGUCAACUUUUAUUGCCCCCAACAAUCUGGGUCCUCAUUUUACCUACCUUAUAAAGGAGGGAAGGCUGAGUCAACCUUGGGCCUGGUGGGACUUGAACUUGCAGUAAUUGCAAGCAGCUGUGUUAAUAACAGACAGACUUAGUCUGCUGAGCCACCAGAGGCCCUAUUUCUCCAUUUGGGAGCUGGGAUGGGCGUGGUUUGUGUUUGAUCCAUCCGGCCGGCAGGCCGCCAUUUUGACACCCCUGAUGUAAGGAAAUAGGAAGCAAUACUACAUGGGACUAUCUCAAAAGAGAGGAAAGGGAAGCUCCCCCUGUGUGGCUCCAAGCUUAGGAUGGAGUCAUUCAGUAAUUAGGACUUUAAAGAAAAACACUUCAUUGACUCACUCCCCAAAGCACUCUGGGAACAAAUACAGGCAGCCAGAAAAUAUUCUCUCUGACACUGUGCCAAUCCAAUAUUCAGCAUGCAGAUAAACUACUGCAUUCUGCACACCCAAGGCUUCCAUGCAAUUUUUUAAAGGCAUUCCAGGCUCAAAGGAAGAUGGAUGCAAUGUUCCUAUAGUCCACAAGGGGGUGCAGUUGAUGUAAAUGUAAAUAAUGUAAAUUAUUUGCAUGUAAAGAAUGGAAACCUCCAUGUCAUGGAUCACCUGCUUUUGUUGCUAGGUUCAAUCUGGAAUAGGUGAAGCAAUUUUAAAUAGCUGUAGUUGUGUACCUGGAGACAGAGGGUCUGCAGGGUCUAGAGACUGCUAGGGUCUGAAUAGGGAGAAACAUGUUUAAACUGAAUCCUACCAAACAGAGGGGCUAUAGACUCAGAGGCUACCUCAGUCUAGAGGCAGCCCAUCAGGAAGGGAUGUGCUCUCCCAAAUGGGCCUGGCCUGUAAAUUGGAGAUCCUGCACCAGUAAGGAGGGACAAAACAGUCUGACUUAAGCUGAAACUCAUUCAGAAAUUACUUGGUUCAAGAGUUCAUGUAACCCCUUCUAUCAACCUAAAGGUGCAAGGAAAGAAAUGGUACAAAAUGCAUACUAGGAGAUUCCCAAGUCCAGAUACUCAUGAUUUCCCUGAUGAGUAACCAUACAUGAUUCAUUUGUCAGAAUCAUAUCUUUGUAGUCCAGGCAAGUUAUGAAUUAUUUGCUUAUAUUGAAAUUUCUGAGAAACUCUGAAUGAGAAGUAAGGACAAUAUUUCUCACAUAUUCUGUUCAAGAAAUGGCAAUCCAUCUCCGAAAUGGAAGUAGGUAUCUUGUUUAUUCAAUAUAUGCAUCAAAAUGUAUAUGCAUCACCAUUUGUUUGUUUUUAUUAAUAUAUAUUUUUGUUAUUUAUUUUUACUAUUUAUUACUUAUUCAUUUACACUAGUCUCUAUUCCCCCACUCACUUCCAAAAACAGAAGAAACCUCCCACCAAACCAUACAAUAGUAAAUGUAACUGAAACAAUAUUUGCUAUUGGGAAAGUCAUCUAUUUCCUAAAUUCAGUCCAAGAAAUACCCUUAAAUAAUGAGACAUAACAGUUUAUAGUUUACUAAAGCAAUCAUUCAUGUUCAAUAGAAAAUUUGGCUGUAAUAAGAAAUUUGAAAUAGUGGCUUUGCAUGCAUUGUUCUAGUAAUAUGCAUUUGGCCAAAGGCUCAUCACCCCUUGGAAGGAAUUUAAGCCUGCUUAAUAUUCUGUCCUUGUGCUUGACAAUAGCAAUAGGUUUCUUAAUCACAAAUGCCACUAAUAAGCAUCUGUUUUACAAAAGAUGCACAUAUGUCCUUUUCUAGAUGACUUCCUAAAUCCUCUGCCCUUUUUAAAUAUAUAAAAAAAUGAUUGCACUUUGUGCAUGUUUCUGUUUAGAUUCCUAUUUUUGUAUAUCUCAUUUUUUCUGUGUUUCACUUUUCUUCUUUAUACUGUAACUGCUAAUAGUUUGCUAAUAAUUCUAAUAGCAAAUCUUUUAUAAAAGUUAUUGCAUUACAUACUUGAUUAAAUUAUCUUUCCAUUGAUAUAUAAUUUUAUGGUACUACUCCAGAAAAAAAUGGUGUUAUUAGCUAGUUUUAGAACAUACAUUUUUCCCAAAAGGUUUCCACAAUUUUGGGCACUACUGUAAUAUCUGUUUUAUAUUUUGAAGCUCUACUUAGCUAUGAAUAAGCUACCAAGAAUGAGCUUUAUAUUUCUAAGUAAAUAUGUGUAGGAUUGCUCGGUAAAUUUCAUGCAUGUGUCAAAUAGCACAAUAUUGACUUAGAAAAUUGUGAACAAUGUUUAAUUUAUUUAUCUAGGCAGUAAAAGACACUUAGCUUUACUAAGAGGAUAACUAUGCCAUACAGUUUGGCUCUUACAUUUUUAAUUUGUUUUUUUUUUUCUGAAGGAAAAGAGAGAGAGGAAGUCUGUCUUCUUACACUCAGAUUUAUGCUGCACUGCAACCUUUAUUGUUGUAUAUUUGCAAAGAAAUGUGCAUUCUAGAGAAGCCAUCAAUUAUUGCAUGAGAAAGCUUAUACAUUUUGGCAAAGAUGCUGGGAGUACAAACAACAGAAAUCUUCUGAAGAUCAGAGAUUUGACCUUGGUUCUGGUUUCCAGAUAGAGGACUGAAAACUUUGAAGAAGAAACUAAAUUCCCUUAUGAUGAAGUGUAUGAUAUCUUUUAUUGUUUGGUUGGGGGUGGGGAGUUCACUGCAGGUUGGUUACAAGGCAAAAUGAAUAUUCUUUUGUUCAUCGAUGGAUUCAGUGGCUGCUGAUUGAAGCUCAGCCUACCAGUGCUGUUGGGUGGUUUUUAAGUGGGAACCCAACACUAUUAUUAGUGGGAUGAAUGAAGGCAGAGGCAUAGGAGCUGCUUGAUGUGUAGGCAAACUGACACCAAGCCUGAGUUCUUCUAGCAAUCAUCAAUGGAGAGCCUAAACAACGUGAAUAUAGUAGUUUCCUUGUCUUUCCUUCACAAAAUCUUCAAAGGAUAUGAGGUUCCUAUCCUGACAGCGCCUGACAAAGGUAGCCCAUUCCUUUUGAAGUAGACACCAUUUCAGCUGGGCAAAAAUGCUGAAAUUCAGUUGGGUGCUUAACUCAUUGGUAGCUAUUUACUGGAUGUGCUUCAUCUGACAAUCAGGUGAAUUAAUAAUUAAAUUGUAUCGAUAUUUAUGAAUCAACCCAUCAAAAAUAAAUGAGAUCAAAACUGAAUAUUUCGAGAUGUCAUUCAAUGAGCACCAUAAAGCAAAAGAAAACAACCAAUAAACCACUAUAAUCAUGAAAAGUCUUGCAAAGAGAUAUCCUCCUUUGGCAAAAAAAUAUUGUACUCACCCCAAAGCAAGAGGAACCUGAAUUUAAAACACUGCUCCCUGAGAAGAUAAAAGAGAAAGCAAGGAGUUGCUUAGCUUCACCAUGGAUCUAAGAUGGUUCUUCCAUCUAUUCAGCCAGGCCUCUUGAUAGCUAUGUUGGUUUGCAUCUCUGAGCUCUACAAACCAGAGGAAUAGCUAAUAUGAAUAGUAAUUGACCAUGGGAAUUGUCUGCUAAAACAGUUGCUCUGUGUGCAGAAGAACUACGCCUGUUCAGUCCAUCCUGGUUCAUUGGAAGGUUACACAAGAACAGUGAACCACAGCCCUAGGACUGCAAAGUGAUUCAGCCUAGCAACUUUGCCUCCUGCCCUUCAACCAUCACAUAAAGAAGAAAAAAGAAGAGAAGGCGUAUCACUCAUAAAACCAUUCAAGUCCCCUUUGUAGGUGAGAGAUGCAGCAUAUAAAAGUUUAAUAAAUCAGCAAAAUGAAUAAAAACAGAAGAACCUGGCACGGUUUUGUGCAAAAUUUUGUAUUUAUUAGUUAUAUGUGUAGAUGCCAAUUUAGAAACAAUUACCAUAGUUGCAUUAGAAAUGUAAAUGUGAGGGAAAUUGUAACUUGAUCUGCUGUCCAAGCGCUACCUUUUGUCGUCAGGUAAGGCUUUUAUUUCUAACAGUUCUUGCUCUUUACACCACCAGUCUUGAACUGGCUCCAUCCUUCUUUCAUAUUAUAUCUGUUUUUCCAAUAAGGUGUCUACAGUUCACAUUAUACCUUUGUGUAAUGCACUAUAUUAUAAAGAAGACUUCAGUAUCUUGUUCAAAUAAACAAUAAUUAUAUUUUUCCUGCCACUUUUAUGUAUAACUCAAGGUGACAAACAUACCUAAUAUCCUGCCUCCUCUUUUCCCCACAAUAACACUGUGAGGUGGGUUGGGCUGAGAGAGAGGGGGGCUGCUGGGGGUGUUUGCAUAUCUCAGGGAAGCCUAAAACUCCUGAUUUCUAUACCAGCACCUUAACCAUCACACCAAACCAGCUCUUUAUAGUGGGAUAUUUAGUGAGGUAUAUUUGGAUUUCUAUGGUAUUUGUUUUAUUCAUCCACUUGGCCUUCUCCCCAAGUACUCAGUCGUUUUAAAGACAUUUGCACGGAUACUCUAGAAUCACAAGCUGCUCUUACAGCAUCCUACUAUUUGUGAUAAUAAUAAUUUAAAUAAAUACAGACCAAUGCAGACAGACAAAAACAGGAAGAGAAAUGAGACUUACCUUACUCCUUAUCCUGUUGAUCUACAAACCAAAGAAGUAUUUGUGUUUUCUGGGUACCCAAACAAUUUCUCCCUUUAUUUAUUUUAUUUUAUUUUAUUUUAUUUUAUUUUAUUUUAUUUUAUUUAUUUAUUUAUUUAUUUAUUUAUUUAUUUGUCAUACAGUACAUAUAAGCAUAAGCAUGAAAUAACUAUACAAUAUAUAAGCAUAUAUAUAAGCAUAAGUAUGUAAUAAGUAUAUUAAUUGGUUAUAAUGAAAGGAAACAAUAGGGCAGGAAUGGUAGGCACCCUUGUGCUCUUAUGCACGCCCCUUACAGACCUCUUAGAAAUGGUGUGAGGUCAACAGUAGACAGUUUUUGAUUGAAGCUUCAGGGAUUUUGGGAAGAGACCACAGAAUGAGGUAGUUUAUUCCAAGUAUUAACAACUCUAUUACUGAAGUCAUAUUUUCUGCAAUCAAGAUUGGAGCGGUUAACAUUAAGCUUAAAACUAUUGUGUGCUCGUGUAUUGUUGCAAUUGAAGCUGAAGUAGUCUUUGACAGGAAGGACAUUGUAAUAGAUGAUUCUAUGAGUUAAACUCAGGUCAUGUCAAAGGCGGCAUAGUUCUAAAUUUUCUAAACCCAGGAUUUCAAGUCUGGUGGCAUAAGGUA